AAUUUUGGACAAUGGGGGCGACCCUGAUCCAGCCAUCCCGCGUGUGCGAUGAAGGCCUUCGGGUUGUAAAUCACUUGUGGCAGGGAAGAAACAGCCUGGGCGAAUACUCGGGGCGACUGACGGUAUGGGCAGAAUAAGAACCGGCUAACUACGUCCCAGCAGCCGCGGUAACACGUAGGGUGAAAGCGUUAAGUGGAAUUAGUGGGCGUAAAGCGUGCGCAGGCGGUUCAGAAAGAAAGGUGUGAAAUCCCAGGGCUUAACCUUGGAACUGCACUUUUAACUGCCGGGCUAGAGUACGUCAGAGGGGGGUAGAAUUCCACGUGUAGCAGUGAAAUGCGUAGAGAUGUGGAGGAAUACCGAUGGCGAAGGCAGCCCCCUGGGAUGAUACUGACGCUCAUGCACGAAAGCGUGGGGAGCAAAC
rnacentral:rRNA from 1 species